GACAACUUGAAGGCACACAACCAGAAACUGUAAGCAACCAGGUAUGGCAACAGUCACCUGUCGGCAGGACCUCUGGUAUGUGCUAUCUGUGGAGCAGGAGAAAGAAGAAGAGCUUUGGAAAGUUACAAGGUGGUGCUGAAAAGUUCUCUGCUGACCAUGAAUGACUCUGAGCCAUGAAAAUGUGUGGAAACAGGAAACAGUCAGAUGGAGCAAGACCUGAUUAGUAGGGUAAAUGCACUCAAACCUCAUGUUCAUCAAAACACACAUCGUCUUCCCAGCCCUGUGAGCAAGUGCAUUUCCUGCAAAAAGAGAAUACCUUUCCACAACUUCCUUCACCAUUUUUCCUUCAAUCAGCACAGCAAGUUAUUCUGCAUUAACUGUUUGACCCUAAUAAAGAUAGUAAUCAAAAUACCUUUCUUCUCCCAAAAAAGCUGUGGCCAUGACCUUUUUUGCUGACCUUAUGAGUCUUUAAUUUUUUGACUGUGGAGAACCCAAGUGCCACCACUGCAAAGACUGUUGGUCUCUGGAUCAUGGUGAUGUCACCAUGAUUCAUCAACAGUGAUGAGUUGUUCCAAAAAUUAUCCCUAGAUUGCCCAAAAUCAAAUCGGAUGUAUCCACUCAAUUUCGUUUUUGCUCAACAUUUAAACAUUUUAGCACCACUUUGCUGAUAGCUUCUGCAUAGCCAACUGUUCAUGAAUUAUAAACCCAACGCAUUCUCAGGACAUCUCUAGUGUUUCAGCAAUUGUUUUAGCUGAGAUUCUGCCAAAAUCAGGUAAUGAACACACUCAACAAUUUCAGAAGCUGACACUGUUGAAGGUUGCCCAGACUUUGCUGCAUCUUCAGUCUCAAAAUUUCCACACUCAAAAUUGACAUGCUACUUCUUCACCUUUGAGUAUGAUAGGCACUUGUCACUCAAUGUUUGCACCAUACAUUCAUAGAUUUCCUUUGGCGUUUUCUUCUGCAGGAACAGGAACAUCAUGACUGGCCUGGAGUUCAGCACUUGAAAAUUCCACACUCUUCAGUGGCAUGGUUCUAUCAAUAAUCUGGAAAAAAAAAUCAGAAUUUAGAGCUACAACCCUGCAGAUUGGCAGUUUGCAAUACCAAAGAACACUUUUGAGCUACAGUGUCAAAAUUAGGCUCAGAUUUUAGGAAGUUGCCAAGGCAAGAACUUUUCAGCACCUGCUUGUAGGUUUUGGACAUCAGCUCUCACAAUCUCCCUGGAUUUCUGUGAACUGCAGUCCAGAGAAGUAAUUUUUCCAAGCUCUGAUAAACUAGCUUUCUUAUCACCUGGAAAGCAUGUUUAUUGGCUCCGUAUUUGUAUGUUUGCUGCAAGAAGCUUGAUAUAGUGAGGAAACUACCUGAUUGUGAUUGUUUAAUGCUCCAACUAUGUACAGUACUGUACUCACUUUGAAAUCAAGAGAUCAUGUGUAUAAGGACUGCACUGUUAAUGUGUAUGGAGAUUAUUGCACGAGGGUGCUUUUGCAAUAUAAUUGUGUAAUUUAAUGUUAUUACAAUGGUAGCAGUAGCGCUAUUGAUGCACUUAUUUCUACAUUACUUUUCAAUAGCAUGACAGUCCUUGUUUUGUGUGACAAAUGUUUCCAGUCCCUUUUCUUCCUGCUUUGCGCAUGUGUUUUUUUAUUUUAUUUUAUUUUGAAGAAGGUUGAAAACCAAACAGAUUGUUGUAACAUGUUUGAAUUCCAUAUGCCAGCAGAGAGUCUUAGAUUAAAGUAUAAUUCACCAACAAAACAUGGAACAACAACAAAGAGAAGCUAAUAAACAAAUCCAGUUAUUGCAACCCAAGUUCUAUUUUGUGGACUAUGAUAAUUACCAGAAAUAUAUACAUAAAUAAGUAAAUUAGCACCUCAAGAAUUGAGCAAAACAAGCCUUCUUUUCUAAACCAGAAGGCUCAUGAUGUAACAGAAGCAGGGAGAGGAGUUGAUGAUACACCCACUCGCACCACAUCAACCUCACAAUAACACUAUUGUAGUUCUCUAGAACAAUCUGUACAUGUGCCAUCACAUGAAUAUAGCAAUAUUUAGCAGUUAUUGAUGGGUAUCUCUUGUUAAUGCGAAAUUGCAUAAUAACGGUAUAACAACAGAUCAGCAGCAGAUGAGUGAUGAUGUCAUGCAAAAAGGAGAGGGAUCCGGUUGUAAUUCCACUUCAGUUCCACCACUAGCACCUCAUGCAAUAAUAUCCUAUGUGUUUCACCACUUUUUAAAUUGUUUGUAAAGCCACUCAAGCUAAACAUUUGGAAGGAAGCCAUAGUUCAGUUUUUCAGCCUGCAGUCUUCCACUUCCAUUACAGGUCUUUUCAGAAGUAAGGUCUAUUGAGUUCAAUUGGAUUUACUCUUCAUGUUUUAUGACCAUAGCUUUAGGGUCCUUGAGAGUCAUCAUACACUGUUCAGUUUCCAGAGAAGGAUGUUAUGACUCAAGGCGACUGUUAAAAUAUACUGUAAUUUGGUUCUCAACAUGUGCAAAGUAUUUAUUAUAUAGCACUCCUUACCCCUUUACUACUCUACUUACC